CAAUCUCGUAAUAUUCCCGUAGGAGAGCGCGAUCUCUGAAAUCCCCGGAGAUUUCAGCGAAAUAAAGGUCGGCCCGGCAAAAGGGACGAGCGGAAUGGUGAUGAAGCCGAGGCGUAACACACAGAGGGAUAGAGGAACGAGACCGGGUGUGUAUACCACACGGAAUGUUCGCGGCCACACGUAUAUACGUAGCCGCGUUGUUUGAAGCGUCCACACGAUUAUACGUACAAGGGUACACGUUCGAAGGAAGAAGAGCGGAAGAGGGAUGAAGAGGCGGAGAGACGACACGACGUGUGUGCAUGCGAGUGUGUGUGCCGGCGAAACUUGUCGGGGCGAGAUCAGAAGGUACCGGAGUCGGGGGUUACACCACGGUUUCAAAGUUCACUGAAUUUCACGGCGAAUUGAAAUAUUCAUAUACAGGGGCGGAAGCUCGCGAACCACCAUCGCGUCAAAGAUUCGAAGGGCACACCACGUGCCACCCUCUAAUAUGGUCGACCACGCGCAGACACGUGUGCGCAACACGGAUAAAGACAUGCAUAUGCAGCCUCUCGAUAUACACAUAUACUCGUCUAUACGUCGGCUGGAUUUGCAUGUUAUUUCGAAAUCCGGAAAUACGGGACACGGCAGCGAUUUCCAUGGGUCCCGUGUGGCCCUCACGAGGACUCACAGCUUGCACGGAUGCCGAACCCGCAGGAUUCCCUGCCUCGGGAGACUGUUAACAAGAACGGGACCGAAUGUGGAGAUACCGAGCUUUUGGGCGCUUCGAGAAAUUGAGGUCUUUGCGAGAUGCUUGGAAGGCGUUGGAUGACGUCGUAAAUAAUUCGACGGUUACUUAACGCUUUAUUAGCGAAAGUCGCGUAUGCCUGGAAUAUAUUAUGCAACGAGCUUUGUGCAAUUGAUAUGGCAGUUUGUACACGUAUUAGCGAGGUUAUAACGUCGUUUUCUUCGAUCAGUUAGUGUUUGGAAAAUAUCUUACGCGGUGUUAAUAGGUUUAUUUUUAGAAAGUAAAUAGAGUUUGUUGGAAGUUAGAUAUUCGAAUACGUAAUUUCCGUCCGCCUCUUAUUUUCUUCAGUUUAAUUUGUUCCUUGAUAUGCGAUUGAUGUAACGAUAAGAAGAUUAGCACGAUGAAGCAAUAAAUAAUUAAGCUUAUAUAUUCUUCUACUAGGAAUAACCGAAUGAAAUUCCUAUAAAUUCAGUCAUAAGAUCUUUUUAUUUGAAGAUUAACGUUUCAUCGAUUCCAUGGUUAUUAGCGUCAAAGGCACAAGACUUUCGCAUUGUCUUCAAGAUUAUCUUCGUAGCGUAUCAAAUUGACAUAAAGGACGGUUGAAGGUAAAACGUGAACAGAGUAUUCUUUCAUUAUAUAAUACUUAUGUGAAUACUUAACUGAAUUAUGUAAUACUCUGGAUCUGUGACCAAUUUCUUAUAACGAUAACUCCUAAUUCUAGAGGUUUUUAAAAUAUCAUUAUCUGUAUCGUACCCUAACGUUCCCCUCUAAACCAAUUUAAUAUAUUAUCAAAGAGUUGACGAGAUUUGAAAUGAACCGUUCGAGCCGAGACAGAGUGCGGGUAGGACAUUGCGCAAGCGAGGUCAUGCGAAUAACGAGCCUUAUGAUCAAACGAUCGGAUAAGGGGCGAGCGAGAAUUCAAGGCGGGCAUUUUAAUCAUCGAUGUAAACGAUGUAACGCCUGCGAAUUACACGUUUCGCUUGGCCGACCAGGG
rnacentral:misc_RNA from 1 species